AACAUUUUAAUUUGAAAUAUGAACGUACUGAAAGCGCGUCUUACUUGUUCACCGCGGGCCUUUUGGUUCGAGUCGCCAGGUUUUCAUAAAUAGGGUUCUCUCCGGUUGAAGCUUCACGGAUCACAUAGCGGUAGCGAGGCGAAUCUUCUGGUAGCGUCUCUGUAUAGUCCCGUUCUUUGUGGCUUCUCCUUUGUCCAAACUGAAACAUACUCCUCAUUUUACUGUGGUAGUUGUACACGAUCACACCAGCUGCGAUCAGCAGCAGUACAAAGAAGAACGUCAGGCCGACGGCUAGAUCGGUACGAGAGCUGCCGGGAGCAGAACAUGAGGCGGUGUCGUUUCCAGGGACACAGGUCAUAUUGGCAAUCAUGAUCUGAAGGUGAAACAGCUCCACUGUGCCUUCAGUGCCUGUUAGGACAACCAGAAAUAAACAACCAUGGUAGGUGCGGUGGUUGGACUCCUGGCAAAAUGAAUGUUUGAAAUGUUGAAUGUCUCUCAUGAAUUUUCAUUUGCAUGUGUUGUUUUUACUGAGCGUGAUAUAUUAUCAUACAUCAACAAUAUAUUAUCAUAAAACCCAUGGGCCUCUUUCUGUUCUGCAUGCAGCUGGAAAUUAAAUUAUCACUGCUAUACGAAAACCAGAACAGAUAUUGAAAGGGUUUCCCCCCCAAGUGAUUUAUCAUAUAAUUCAUUGAGGGAAUGUAGAAACAAAUAUAUGACAGAAAUACUUACAAUUCAUCUAAUACCUCAUGUGUCUGCAGUAAGUAUCUAACAGAAUGUUGGAAUGUGGUCAUCUAGAAAGCAGUGGGGGACAGUAUUGUAGUAUUAGUAGUAGUAUUGUAGUAUCUUCAGGUCAGCAGUGCACACACACCUGGACACAUCUGGGGAGGAGGAAGACAUUGACACUCUCUGGCCUGAGACAUUGUCACAAACAGUUUGAUCCUCGACUCUCUCAGAACUCUCAAUUGAGGUUAUUUACCGUAAACAUAUUUAAAAGUUCCUCACAAAACCAGUUUAUGUGUAAAUUAAAAGUUCGACAGAAUUGCCCAUCUGGUGACAGUACGUUUGACUGGGCACACUGGGCGACAACAUCACCUCAUUGCCUUCAAAUGCAUCCAAAGAUAAUUAAAAAAAUAAUAACUGUUAGACAGUUACAUUUGCGGUUGACCGCAGUCCAGAUGUGCAGAGCACCUCCACUCCACCCCCGCGCAGCGACGUGAGCACGCAAAGCCGAGGCAGCUGCGUCAAAUCGUAGAGAGACAACCGCGCAGAUACGAGAAACCAGACGACGUCCCCUUCAAAAUAAAAGGCUGCCAUGUCGAAAAAUAAAGUAACACUUUUUUUAGUUUUAGUCAAAGAAAAGCCUUAUUAAGUAAGUAGGUAAGUACAACCAAUGGUCAACUGAUCAGAUGCAGCGUUGAUUGGCCCUGCACACCUGCAUUUGCUGGUCUGAGACACCAUCAAGUGCUGUGAAGGUUGUCGCUAUUGAUUGAAUAAUCUAAACAUGGAUUUUAAUCAGGCGUCUUUCACUUUGAGCAAUGAAUGCAAUGAAUGGAGCAAUGAAAAUUGUUUGUUUUUUU
ensembl:lncRNA